rnacentral:rRNA from 1 species
CCUACGAGUGGCAGCAGUGAGGAAUAUUGGUCAAUGUGCGCGAGCCUGAACCAGCCAAGUAGCGUGAAGGAUGACUGCCCUACGGGUUGUAAACUUCUUUUAUAAAGGAAUAAAGUGAGGCACGUGUGCCUUAUUGUAUGUACUUUAUGAAUAAGGAUCGGCUAACUCCGUGCCAGCAGCCGCGGUAAUACGGAGGAUCCGAGCGUUAUUCGGAUUUAUUGGGUUUAAAGGGAGCGUAGAUGGGUUUUUAAGUCAGUUGUGAAAGUUUGCGGCGCAACCGUAAAAUUGCAAUUGAUACUGGCAGUCUUGAGUACAGUUGAGGUAGGCGGAAUUCGUGGUGUAGCGGUGAAAUGCUUAGAUAUCACGAAGAACUCCGAUUGCGAAGGCAGCUUACUAAACUGCCACUGACAUUGAUGCUCGAAAGUGUGGGUAUCAAACAGGAUUAGAUACCCUAGUAGUC